rnacentral:rRNA from 1 species
UACGAAGGGGGGCUAGCGUUGCUCGGAAUCACUGGGCGUAAAGCGCACGUAGGCGGAUCUUUAAGUCAGGGGUGAAAUUCCCAAGGCUCAACUUGGAACUGCCUUUGAUACUGGGGAUCUCGAGUCCGGAAGAGGUUGGUGGAACUGCGAGUGUAGAGGUGAAAUUCGUAGAUAUUCGCAAGAACACCAGUGGCGAAGGCGGCCAACUGGUCCGGUACUGACGCUGA